UUGGUAGGGAGGCAAACUAGU
ensembl:piRNA 21ur-2582 ncRNA